rnacentral:rRNA from 1 species
GAUGAACGCUGGCGGCGUGGAUGAGGCAUGCAAGUCGAAUGGGUUUAGACCCAUGGCAGACGGGGUAGGAACAGGUAGGUACGUACCGUAGAGUCAGGGAUACUCCGGCGAAAGUCGGCAUAAUACUUGAUAGUCCCUUCGGGGUAAAGAUUUAUCGCUCUAUGAACGGCCUGCUUUCUAUCAGCUUGUUGGUACGGUAACGGCGUACCAAGGCUACGACGGAUAGGGGAGGUGAGAGCCUGACCCCCACCAUUGGAACUGCGACACUGUCCAAACUCCUACGGGAGGCUGCAGUCGAGAAUCUUCCGCAAUGGGCGAAAGCCUGACGGAGCGACGCCGCGUGGUGGAUGAAGCACUUCGGUGCGUAAACACCUUUUAUGAGUGAAGAAGUAUAUUGACAUUAGCUCAUGAAUAAGGGGCUCCCAACUCUG